rnacentral:rRNA from 1 species
ACUUACAGCCAUGCUACUCUGAACAUGUCUGAUCUUGGAAGCUAGGCAAGGUUCAGGCCUGAUUAGUACCUGGAUGGGAGACCAUCUGGGAAUACCAGGUGCUGUAGGCU